rnacentral:rRNA from 1 species
GAUGAACGCUGGCGGUAUGCUUUACACAUGCAAGUCGUACGAGAGUUUUGAACUCAAGUGGCGGACGGGUGAGUAACACGUAAGAAUUUGCCUUUAGGAGGGGGACAACAACUGGAAACGGUUGCUAAUACCCCAUAUGCUUUCGAGUGAAACGGUUUUUCCGCCUAAAGAGAAGCUUGCGGCUGAUUAGCUUGUUGGUAAGGUAAUGGCUUACCAAGGCGACGAUCAGUAUCUGGUUUGAGAGGACGAUCAGACACACUGGAACUGAGACACGGUCCAGACUCCUACGGGAGGCAGCAGUGGGGAAUUUUCCGCAAUGGGCGAAAGCCUGACGGAGCAAUACCGCGUGAGGGAUGAAUGCCUAUGGGUUGUAAACCUCUUUUUUCAGGGAGGAAUCAAUGACGUUACCUGAAGAAUAAGCAUCGGCUAACUCCGUGCCAGCAGCCGCGGUAAGACGGAGGAUGCAAGUGUUAUCCGGAAUCACUGGGCGUAAAGCGUCUGUAGGUGGUUUGAUAAGUCAACUGUUAAAUCUUGAGGCUCAACCUCAAAACCGCAGUCGAAACUAUAGA